ACGGAAGGCAGCAGUGGGGAAUAUUGGACAAUGGGCGAAAGCCUGAUCCAGCGACGCCGCGUGAGUGAAGAAGUAUUUCGGUAUGUAAAGCUCUAUCAGCAGGGAAGAUAAUGACGGUACCUGACUAAGAAGCCCCGGCUAACUACGUGCCAGCAGCCGCGGUAAUACGUAGGGGGCAAGCGUUAUCCGGAUUUACUGGGUGUAAAGGGAGCGCAGGCGGUACGGCAAGUCUGAUGUGAAAGCCCGGGGCUCAACCCCGGUACUGCAUUGGAAACUGUCGAACUAGAGUGUCGGAGGGGUAAGCGGAAUUCCUAGUGUAGCGGUGAAAUGCGUAGAUAUUAGGAGGAACACCAGUGGCGAAGGCGGCUUACUGGACGAUAACUGACGCUGAGGCUCGAAAGCGUGGGGAGCAAACAGGAUUAGAUACCCUGGUA
rnacentral:rRNA from 1 species